GGACAUACGAAAAUAGCACGUAAUCAUAAUAUACGGUUGGGAAAGAUUCUCGGCUUUACAGUAACACGUUCAAGAACAAGAAUCUAAUGGUAAUUUAAGCUUUAUAGGUACAUAAAGACCCAACCAAAAAAAUCCGCACAUUUUAGAACUUGUCAACAUUUACACCAUCUCUAAGGACCUCAUACGCCUCUCUUUUCCUGGUUUUCUUCAUUCCGGCAGUGAAGUUGAGCUUCGGUCCAUCAGAAGUAAUACAGGUUACUUUUACCCAUAUCAUCACCUUCGUUUUCAUUCCCUCUAUGUCUGCUAGCUUUCCCUUCUCCAGAUAUCCAGUCACAGUGGUGUUAAAGCGCAAGACUGAUGAGUCUUUAUACCCAACUUCGCAGAUUUCUGGGAUGAAGACAGUCAGCUUUCCUGUCUCCUCGUUGAACUCAUAGUUGGUUGCAUCACGAGGGAAAAUUCCCACUGCCAAGUCAUAAUCCUUCAGCAGGUCUGGCAAAGGUUUUUGCAUUUUUCCUUUUAUUUUAUUAACCAACCAGCUAGUUCCUCCUUGAAUACUCGUUGACAGUGAAUUAAUGUCAUCGCCGAUGGAGCCGAUCUCCUUGUUGGCCUUCUGGCUGAACCAAUAAGAGCCAACUUUGUUCAUAAUCUGAUCCAUUCCGAGCUUCAAUUGAACGUAAAAACCAGUAGAAAUCGAUCCUUAACGAAGAAGCUAAAAGCUAGUUAGGUCAAUUUGGAAGAAUCGCAAGAGAGGAAAUGGCGAUUAGAGAGAGAGAGAGAGAG
rnacentral:misc_RNA from 1 species